GUUCUAGCUAUGCCAUUAAAAAGAUCAUUCCAAAUAAAUAAAUAAAAAAGAAAAAAUAAAAAAAAAGGCCCAACGGCUUGCCGCAAGACAUUGAAAACUUCAACGAGAUAGUAAUGAUAAUAUUAACAACAACAACAACAAUAAUAAUAAUAAAGCAUCAUUUUUUUUUGAAAUAAAUUCCCAUAAUUAUUGAUGACAUAAAACCAAAACAAAUUUAAAAAAAGAAAAAAAAAUUCUAGUCAAAUUGUUUGCUUACCAAUAAUGAUCAGGACAACUUUGCAAACUGAAACUUGCAUGUGGCAAUCUUUAUUGGAAAACCAAAUCGGUCCGUAUGGAUACCUUGCAUCCGAUAAAACCGGAUCAUUACUGCGACGGGUUAACAUUUUACGCGUCGCUAAAAUAUUCGCUCGUUCUCCAUACCAAGCGACAACAAUUCUCGAGAAACGCAAACAACCUCAUUGGGUUAUGGGUUAAACAACUCUAAAUUUUCUCUACUUCGUAUAUCGUUUUUGAAAAAAUUUUACUUUCUCUUCAAUUUCCUUGUUUCAAUGAAAGAGUAAGAAACGCUUAAAUUAAAAAGUAAAACUCUCUUGGAAUCAUAUUCCGUGAUUUGCUUAUCGUUGUUCCGUAGCUAUUACUCCUGCAUCUGCUGCUUGUUGACAACUUCCGCUUUGUAGUGGGAUAUUGCCUGCUUGGACUGUCAUACUCUAAUACUUUGUCUCUACUCAUCGUUAAAAUGUUUGUAGCAACCUAAAUUGUCGUCACAUUUGCAUUUACCACAAUCUGUCAGCUUUUUGCCGCUCUGAGUAUUUUUUCCUUGCUCUUGUUACUUUGGCUGCUCGCGCGUUCGAUAAGCUCUUCGGCGAAGUGAGAGUCAAUUUAACAUGGUUCCCCAGUCUAUAACAUCUGGAAGCAAAAAUGGCUCAUAUAGUUGGCAUCGCCACUACUGACUGUUCGAACGGCUUCCCCACUAAGCAUGGCUUUCUAACUUUUAUCUUAACAGACCAAGGCAGUCUGCUAAUAGCGAGACUUGCUGAUAUCGCCAACAGAGCCUUCGCAGUGGUCCUUGGGGGAAGGGUAAUUGAUUUUCAGAGAGGUAAAAUUAACAGCGUUCUAUAAUGUAACAUAUUUCGCUAUGGUAUUUUUUUUUAUAACUUUAUUUUGGUUGAUGUGACAAGGAUUUAAACAUUGACAAAAAAACAGUCGUGCAAGUGGGUGAAUGUAAACUACAAGGAGUGGCACAAACUAAUCAGAUAAGUCGCAAACUAACUGGUGCGCAAAAUAUGUACGUACAUAUACACAUACACUUGUAAAUACAUAUACUAAUAAUGGAUCUCUUGAAUCUAACCAAGUCGUAAUACAAUCUUUUAACUCCUUACCUUGUAAUGUUGCGUUUCUCGGAUUCUUUGUGAUUUUCGUUUCUGAACAUUUAAUUUAAUUUAAUUUAGUAUGAUUUAUUUUUAUUUUUUUUCUGUGAGUUUUUCAAUCCUCGUUUCUGCACAAUUACGAAAAACAAUAUUUGAAUUAUUAAAUUGAAAGCGUUGCAUUGUCAUACUGCUACAUAUUACUCAAAACACAACCAUGACCAACGUAUCAGUAUUUCUAAUGCGUUCAAAUUCAUGCGUAUGGAUGAAUUUUGGAAGGAAUAAGUAGCACUGCUUCAAAGUUGUUUUUCCAUAUAGGUAACCAGCUAAUUUGACGCAUCAUUCGGGUUGUUUCGUGUUUGUCUUUAAAAACAAUCUCCCAUCUUUUUUAAGGGGCUAUGUGGGGGAGAGAGCAUAGGGGUUGCGAGUACUAGUUCUGCUACCCUCAGUUUACUCGAAAUCGCUGUAUCAACAUGAGUGGGGGUUGUCCUAACAUUUCCUAGCUGCAUCCAAUAUUCAUAAAGUCCCUUGUGGGGGCCAUAUAAAGGAAAGGCUAUCCCCUUAUUUGUUAAGAGCAGUGGGUAUGUACAUCGAUUUGAUAAUAAAUUUUAAGUUAUGCUUUUGUUUUUCUCGAUUUAAAAUAAAAAAUCUUUGGGUCUUUAUUUUAGCAGUUAUUGGUUAAACUAACUUCCGUAUUCACUGCAUGCACAUGCUAGUUACUCAAUGCUGGGUUGUAAUUAAUCAACGACAAUGGUGCAUAUACAAACACAAAUAAACCGCUCUAAUUAUUAAUUUCUAAUGCAACCGGAUCACUCUCUUUCAUAGUUACUCGCUGUUUUCAGAGAAGAAUUUUGUUCAUUUGUCUUCCUUGCUUGUUUAAAGUUGUUAAAAGUACGCAUCGUUUUUGUUUUGUAAUCUGUUUGAUUCGGAAUAAUUGAUUUUUUCAACCAUUGUUCCUGAAAUAAAAUAAAAUUACUAGCCUUAGAAAACCAUUACACUUCAAUUAGAAUGGACAGAAAAACAACACCACACAAAAAAAAAGAAAUGAUUGGAUUAUAAACGAAAGCACGAGCGUAAUACUUUUCUCUAGAAUUGACCUUAAUAUAAAAUAAAUGCGUAACAAUAAC